UACGUAGGGCGCAAGCGUUGUCCGGAAUUAUUGGGCGUAAAGAGCUCGUAGGUGGCGUGUCGCGUCUGCCGUGAAAGCCCAUGGCUUAACUGUGGGUCUGCGGUGGAUACGGGCAGGCUGGAGGCUGGUAGGGGCAAGCGGAAUUCCUGGUGUAGCGGUGAAAUGCGCAGAUAUCAGGAGGAACACCGGUGGCGAAGGCGGCUUACUGGACCACUUCUGACGCUGAGACACGAAAGCGUGGGUAGCAAACAGG
rnacentral:rRNA from 1 species